rnacentral:rRNA from 1 species
CCUACGGGAGGCAGCAGUGGGGAAUCUUGCGCAAUGGGCGAAAGCCUGACGCAGCCAUGCCGCGUGAAUGAUGAAGGUCUUAGGAUUGUAAAAUUCUUUCACCGGGGACGAUAAUGACGGUACCCGGAGAAGAAGCCCCGGCUAACUUCGUGCCAGCAGCCGCGGUAAUACGAAGGGGGCUAGCGUUGCUCGGAAUUACUGGGCGUAAAGGGAGCGUAGGCGGAUAGUUUAGUCAGAGGUGAAAGCCCAGGGCUCAACCUUGGAAUUGCCUUUGAUACUGGCUAUCUUGAGUAUGGGAGAGGUAUGCGGAACUCCGAGUGUAGAGGUGAAAUUCGUAGAUAUUCGGAAGAACACCAGUGGCGAAGGCGGCAUACUGGCCCAUUACUGACGCUGAGGCUCGAAAGCGUGGGGAGCAAACAGGAUUAGAUACCCUGGUAGUCCACGCUGUAAACGAUGAGUGCUAGUUGUCGGCAUGCAUGCAUGUCGGU